AAUUUUCCAUAGUAUAGGAGUGAAAUCUUUAGCCUUUAUUCGCCUGGGUUACAUCUUGCCUAUAGGUGGGUACUUGUGUGGGUUCCAGUGCCAUCUACUACCCAAGCUGUGCAUCUCGGAGGAGAUGUGGGACCUUACAACAACCACCUCUUCUCACUGCAACCGGCUGAAAAUUCAGGAGAAAAAGAAAACCCAGCCAUUAAAAAUGGGCUUGGCACCAGAUGAUCUGUAGCACUGUUCCAUCAAAUACUACUGCUAAAAAGUCUUGCUGAAAUAGAUGUCUGUAGCAUAACAGCCAGCUGGCUAGUGGAAAGAAGUGAUCGGCUAUCAAGACCAGCCAAUGUUGUGGACCCAGUUCUCUGCUGCAAAGGGAAUGCAAUGCAUUGCUAACAAUCAGGGCCUUUAAGCCUACCUGAAGUUUUACUUAACACCACUUCUAGGAAAGGCCUAAAAGAGAGCAGUUGGGGGAGGAGAGAAUCCAGCAUCACAAGGAAUCCCCUUGCUAUUUCAUCCUGAUGAGCCUCACAAAUCUCUGGAGCAUAAAGGCUUGGAGGAAACUUGCUGUCAGGAAAGAAUACAGAAUGUCUUGUAUAUCAUUUGUAUUAUGAACAGCACUAAGCAUAAAUUCCUGAGAUUCAAAAUAAUACAAACCAGAACACUGAGCUAUUAGAUCCAGAGUUGUCGCUGGAGGUUCAAGCGGCCUUAGUAGCACAGAGCACCGUCCAAGGUCAAGAGCUCCUUCCUGAGUGACAGCUUUUCCUUAGAAAGUAGGAACUUAGGGAGCAAUCCAACUGUCAGCGGAGCCAGCGGAAAGCUCUGUAGGAUCCUCCUCCAGGAGCCACCAGCCCAACUGAAUGCCAGAUCUGUUGGGAGCUGCGUGCACAAGCCUGCCAGAAAGUGCCGGCUCCGGCCAACAGGCCUCCCAGGGAGUAAGUGCUCCCCAUAGGCUGGCAGAGUUUAAAGGGGGAUUUGGACUUGGGGGAGGGGUCUGAAUGCAAGAAGGAUCUUGUGUAAGUCCCCCCCCGCAGCUCCUCCCCCGCCACGCCUCUGGUAUGCCCUGUUUUUGGGCCUUCCGUCCACUUCCACCAGGCUUCUAUCUGCUGGGCUGUCUGUCCCCGGCAGACCCCCAGAGGUACUGGAAGGCUCCUGACAGAGCCACAUCUUCACCACGGCAGAAAGCUGCUGCCAGGGGAGCCCAGCACAGCCAGUAGUCUACCAGCACUGUUGGGGAUCCGCAGCAUCCAACUCACCCCAGCCCAAGGGUAAGUUGGAUUGCUCCCUUAGUAACUUAACAGUUUCCCAGAUUGUAAAAAGUUCCUUCUCAGAUAGGAUGGCUGUAUGCAGCAUUACCCAGACAAUUCAACAGGGACUGUUUUCCUUGUGUAUG